rnacentral:tRNA from 1 species
UCCUCGGUAGUGUAGUGGUGAGUGUCCGCGCCUGUCACGUGUGAGACCCGGGCUAGAUUCCCGGCCGGGGAG